rnacentral:rRNA from 1 species
UGAACGCUGGCGGCGUGCCUAAUACAUGCAAGUCGAGCGAACAGACGAGGAGCUUGCUCCUCUGACGUUAGCGGCGGACGGGUGAGUAACACGUGGAUAACCUACCUAUAAGACUGGGAUAACUUCGGGAAACCGGAGCUAAUACCGGAUAAUAUAUUGAACCGCAUGGUUCCAUAGUGAAAGACGGUUUUGCUGUCACUUAUAGAUGGAUCCGCGCCGCAUUAGCUAGUUGGUAAGGUAACGGCUUACCAAGGCGACGAUGCGUAGCCGACCUGAGAGGGUGAUCGGCCACACUGGAACUGAGACACGGUCCAGACUCCUACGGGAGGCAGCAGUAGGGAAUCUUCCGCAAAGGGCGAAAGCCUGACGGAGCAACGCCGCGUGAGUGAUGAAGGUCUUCGGAUCGUAAAACUCUGUUAUUAGGGAAGAACAAAUGUGUAAGUAACUAUGCACGUCUUGACGGUACCUAAUCAGAAAGCCACGGCUAACUACGUG